rnacentral:rRNA from 1 species
AUACGUAGGUGGCAAGCGUUGUCCGGAAUUAUUGGGCGUAAAGCGCAUGUAGGCGGUGCCUUAAGUCUGUCGUGAAACUGCGGGGCUUAGCCCCGUAUGGCGAUGGAAACUGGGUUACUUGAGUGCAGGAGAGGAAAGGGGAACUCCCAGUGUAGCGGUGAAAUGCGUAGAUAUUGGGAAGAACACCGGUGGCGAAGGCGCCUUUCUGGACUGUGUCUGACGCUGAGAUGCGAAAGCCAGGGUAGCGAACGGGAUUAGAUACCCCGGUAGUCCUGGCCGUAAACGAUGGGUACUAGGUGUGGGAGGUAUCGACCCCUUCCGUGCCGGAGUUAACGCAAUAAGUACCCCGCCUGGGGAGUACGGCCGCAAGGCUUAAACUCAAAUGAAUUGACGGGG